rnacentral:rRNA from 1 species
GGAUGAACGCUGGCGGCGUGCCUAAUACAUGCAAGUCGAGCGAACUGAUUAGAAGCUUGCUUCUAUGACGUUAGCGGCGGACGGGUGAGUAACACGUGGGCAACCUGCCUGUAAGACUGGGAUAACUUCGGGAAACCGAAGCUAAUACCGGAUAGGAUCUUCUCCUUCAUGGGAGAUGAUUGAAAGAUGGUUUCGGCUAUCACUUACAGAUGGGCCCGCGGUGCAUUAGCUAGUUGGUGAGGUAACGGCUCACCAAGGCAACGAUGCAUAGCCGACCUGAGAGGGUGAUCGGCCACACUGGGACUGAGACACGGCCCAGACUCCUACGGGAGGCAGCAGUAGGGAAUCUUCCGCAAUGGACGAAAGUCUGACGGAGCAACGCCGCGUGAGUGAUGAAGGCUUUCGGGUCGUAAAACUCUGUUGUUAGGGAAGAACAAGUACGAGAGUAACUGCUCGUACCUGACGGUACCUA